rnacentral:lncRNA from 1 species
AUGAACCAGGCCCCUCACGAGAGCAGGAGGAAGAGCCGGAGGUAACCAUCCGAUCUCUAUCCCUCAGUGAGUUGCGAGAUAUGCGGAAGGAUUUCAGCCGCAUUGCAGGCGAGCAAAUUUGCACCUGGCUGCUCCGGUGCUGGGAUAGUGGAGCUGCUGGUCUGGAAUUGGAGGGGAGAGAGGCCAAGCAGAUGGGACCUUUAGCCAAGCAGGCUGGUAUUGACAAGGCAAUAGGGAAACAGGCUCAAACCCUCAGCCUUUGGAGGCGACUCCUGCUCGGUGUGAGGGAGAGGUACCCCUACAAGGAUGAUGCUCUAUGUCGGUUAGGCAAGUGGACCGACAUGGAGAGAGGCAUUCAAAAUCUCAGGGAAAUGGCUGUGUUUGACAUUAUCUAUGGUGAUCUGAAUAAUGAGCAGUCACCAAUAGAUCCAGAUCAGGCCCCUUGCACACAGCUGAUGUGGCGGAAGUUCCUCCAAAGUGGACCAGAGGGACAUUCCAAAGCAUUAGCAGUAGCGUCCUGGUGGCGAGACACCCAGACAGUGGACGAAGUGAUUAACCAGCUCCGGCAAUAUGAGGGAAGUCUCCCUUCCGCCCAACAUGCUUUGGUUUCAGCCGUAGAGGAACUGUCUCAGAGGCUCCAGAAAGUGGAACAGGACAUGUCCUAUGUUCCACCUGCACGGGCCGAUGUCUCAGCUAUUAGAAGCAGGCGCUUCCCCACCCAAGAGAAGGGCAGUGGAAGGCACACACCACGGGGCACCCUGUGGUUCUUCCUCCGCGACCAUGGGGAAAACAUGAGAAGGUGGCAUGGACAGCCCACUUCCGCCCUAGCUGCACGAGUACAGCAACUGAAAGGGAAGACCGCCAUGAAAGGGGAGUCUUCCAAGAGAGAUGCAGCCCCAGUGUCUAGUAGGAAAUCCCCCAGACAGAACAGAAUGGCCAACACUAUGCUGGACCCUCUUGAGGGGACCAGGAAGUCAUUCUUGCAGGAGUCACUCUUAGAUCAAGUGAGUGAUGGUGAGCAGGAUUAGAGGGGCCCUGCCUCCAGCCAGGUGGAGGAGAGGGAUAAUCGGAUUUACUGGAAGGUGUGGAUCCGAUGGCCUGGC